rnacentral:misc_RNA from 1 species
GAUGAAGAACGUAGCGAAAUGCGAUAAGUAAUGCGAAUUGCAGAAUUCCAGUGAGUCAUCGAAUCUUUGAACGCACAUUGCGCCCCUUGGUAUUCCGAGGGGCAUGCCUGUUCGAGCGUCAUUAUCACCCCUCAAGCUUUGCUUGGUGUUGGGGCCUGCUGUAAUAGGCAGCCCUUAAAAUCAGUGGCGGUGCUUCAAGGCUCUAAGCGUAGUAAUUCUCCUCGCUAUAGUGUCUAGUGGUUGCCAGCCAGAACCCCCCAAUUUUCAUGAUUGACCUCGGAUCAGGUAGGGAUACCCGCUGAACUUAAGCAUAUCAAUAAGCGGAGGA